AGGGGAAACGAUAGGGAAAGCUUGCUUUUCCUAGGCGUCGACCGGCGCACGGGUGAGUAACGCGUAUCCAACCUGCCCAUGUCUGGGGAAUAACCCGUCGAAAGGCGGACUAACUCCCCAUGGUCUCCGAUGAGGACAUCUGAAUUGGAGUAAAGCUUCGCGGACAUGGAUGGGGAUGCGUCUGAUUAGGUAGUAGGCGGGGUAACGGCCCACCUAGCCCACGAUCAGUAGGGGUUCUGAGAGGAAGGUCCCCCACAUUGGAACUGAGACACGGUCCAAACUCCUACGGGAGGCAGCAGUGAGGAAUAUUGGUCAAUGGACGAGAGUCUGAACCAGCCAAGUAGCGUGCAGGAUGACGGCUCUAUGGGUUGUAAACUGCUUUUGCGCGGGGAUAACACCCUCCACGUGCUGGAGGUCUGCAGGUACCGCGCGAAUAAGGACCGGCUAAUUCCGUGCCAGCAGCCGCGGUAAUACGGAAGGUCCGGGCGUUAUCCGGAUUUAUUGGGUUUAAAGGGAGCGUAGGCCGUGAGGUAAGCGUGUUGUGAAAUGUAGGCGCCCAACGUCUGCACUGCAGCGCGAACUGCCCCACUUGAGUGCGCGCAACGCCGGCGGAACUCGUCGUGUAGCGGUGAAAUGCUUAGAUAUGACGAAGAACCCCGAUUGCGAAGGCAGCU
rnacentral:rRNA from 1 species